UACGGCUGGCAGUAGUCUAGGUGCCAGGAUGCUGCAGGGAGGGGUGAAGAAAGGACUGCUGCUACGUAACAUGCAAGUGGACUGACCCCUGACCUUUAAACCCUGACCUCUAACCUCUAACCUCAGACAUUCAACCAUCGCACAGGACUAGGCUCCCUUUGUACAGAUCUAGGAUCAGCUUCCCCUCCCCAAUCCUAACCUUAACCCUUUACACUCGUACUCGUAUCCAUCCGGGUUGAAAAUGGCAGAUUUGGGCACCAAUAAAUACCUAAAUUGGAACGUAAUGCUCAUCAUAGCGAUGUAUGAGUUUUGACUGACAGACAUUCUGAACUUGAGCACCUCACGCAACGUAAAGCUACAACCCAUCCCUCCUCGUAACCUUUGCAAAUGUUUUGUUGUCUGAGUGAAGGGAAAAUGCUGUAAAUUAAGAGGACCAGAUGCAUUUUGUUGAGGAUUGUAAUAAAUAUCGCUUUGAUGUCAUGUAUCGCCUGUGAGUACGGGUUGUUACGGUUACCAGAUGACUUGUCGUCAUACCCUGGGUUGUUCUGAACAGAAUGAGACUAUGUUAGAUGUACAGUUACCAGAUGACUUGUCGUCAUACCCUGGGUUGUUCUGAACAGAAUGAGACUAUGUUAGAUGUACAGUUACCAGAUGACUUGUCGUCAUACCCUGGGUUGUUCUGAACAGAAUGAGACUAUGGGUGAUGUAGUUACCAGAUGACUUGUCGUCAUACCCUGGGUUGUUCUGAACAGAAUGAGUCUAUGGGUGAUGUAGUUACCAGAUGACUUGUCGUCAUACCCUGGGUUGUUCUGAACAGAAUGAGACUAUGGGUGAUGUAGUUACCAGAUGACUUGUCGUCAUACCCUGGGUUGUUCUGAACAGAAUGAGACUAUGGGUGAUGUAGUUACCAGAUGACUUGUCGUCAUACCCUGGGUUGUUCUGAACAGAAUGAGACUAUGGUUGAUGUACAGUUACCAGAUGACUUGUCGUCAUACCCUGGGUUGUUCUGAACAGAAUGAGACUAUGUUAGAUGUACAGUUACCAGAUGACUUGUCGUCAUACCCUGGGUUGUUCUGAACAGAAUGAGACUAUGUUAGAUGUACAGUUACCAGGUGACUUGUCGUCAUACCCUGGGUUGUUCUGAACAGAAUGAGACUAUGUUAGAUGUACAGUUACCAGAUGACUUGUCGUCAUACCCUGGGUUGUUCUGAACAGAAUGAGACUAUGUUAGGUGUACAGUUCCCAGAUGACUUGUCGUCAUACCCUGGGUUGUUCUGAACAGAAUGAGACUAUGGGUGAUGUAGUUACCAGAUGACUUGUCGUCAUACCCUGGGUUGUUCUGAACAGAAUGAGACUAUGGGUGAUGUAGUUACCAGAUGACUUGUCGUCAUACCCUGGGUUGUUCUGAACAGAAUGAGACUAUGGUUGAUGUAGUUACCAGAUGACUUGUCGUCAUACCCUGGGUUGUUCUGAACAGAAUGAGACUAUGGUUGAUGUAGUUACCAGAUGACUUGUCGUCAUACCCUGGGUUGUUCUGAACAGAAUGAGACUAUGUUAGAUGUACGGUUGCCAGAUGACUUGUCGUCAUACCCUGGGUUGUUCUGAACAGAAUUGAGACUGUUUGCCAUUGCACACGCACCUGAAUACGGUCAUCACUCCUUUCUCUGCACGCCAACAUGAUGGUCUGUUUCUCUGAAUUGCCUUGUGAAAGCCUAACACUGUAAUAUCAUAUUUUUAUAUCUUAGCUGGU